AACGCCUUCGUAUCAAAUCAUUAUUGUGGAUGUGGAAGGUUGUUGUGGUGUGCUUUCAAGAAACAAAGUUGCAACUUAUUGAUAGAAGUAUUGUGCGGAGCCUAUGGGGAUGCUCGUAUGUGGAUUGGUUGAGGCGAUUGAGGAGUGUAUUGUAGAUUUCUCUGCAGCAACUCUUUUCAAAAAUGUUGUUGAUGGAUGGGAAUGGGCAUUUGUAGGCACAUAUGGUCCUAAUGUGGACAAGGUAGAAGAAGGUUGUGGGAGGAGUUGGCGGGCCUACAUUCUGUUUGGGUUGUGCCGUGGUGUAUGGGGGAUGAUUUUAACAUAACUCGCUUCCCUAGUGAGUGAUCGGGGCAUUAUCGGAAUUUUGUGGCUAUGAAGGAGUUUCCAGAGUUCAUCUUUGAUCUGGAAUUUACGGAUCUUCCAUUGGUAGGGGGUGAGUAUACUUGGUCAAAUGGUCGGGUUUGGUCCAAAUUGGAUAGAUUUCUUGUCUCUCCGUCGUGGGAAGCCCACUUUCCGGAAGUAUGUCAGAAACAGCUAGCUCGAGUCAACUCAGAUUAUUUUCCUAUUAUUCUAGAUUGUGGGGGUAUGAAUAGGGGUCGUCAGUCUUUUAAGUUUGAAAAUAUGUGGCUUUUAGCGGAUGGAUUUGUAGAGAUGGUGUGUGCCUAGUGGUCAGCAUAUCAGUUGUUAGGCACUCCAAGUUUCAUUCUUGCAAGUAAAUUGAAGGCCUUGAAGAAAGACCUGAAGAAGUGGAACUUGGAAGUUUUUUGCCACACUGACAAUCCAAAGUCAACUCUGUUGGAGGAAUUGAGGAGAUAGAGGGUAAGGAAUUUUUGGGUAAUGUUUCGGAGGAGGUGUUAUUGAGGAAGGCCACAGUGAUGGCAAAUUUGGAGAGGGUUUUGUUGUCGGAGGAGACUUUGUGGCGUCAAAAAUUCAGGGCCCUUUGGUUGAAAAAAUGUGAUAAGUGUACGGAGUAUUUUCACAAAGUGGCUAAUUCACAUCGGCGUAGCAACACUAUCGAGUCGCUAUAUUCAGAUACUCAGGUCUUAUCUUCUCCUUCCGAACUAGAAAAUCACAUUGUGCAUUAUUAUGAGGCCCUUCUCAAGGAAUUGGCUAGCUGAAGGCCGAAGCUUGAUGCUUUGUCUUUCGAGGCAAUUGAUUCUUAGAGUGCAAGUGUUUUGGGGAGACUUUUUUAUGAAGAUGAGAUUUAUAAGGUUAUUUCUAGUAUGACUAAAGAUAAAGCGCUGGGUCCGGAUGAUUUUUCAAUGGGUUUCUUUCAAAUUUGUUGGGAUAUAGUGAAAUGUGAUGUUUUGCAAGUUUUUAGUGAAUUUUACUUUUUCCAAAAGUUUGAAAAAUCCCUUAAUGCGACGUUCAUUGCGCUCAUUCCCAAAAAACAUGGGGUUUCGAUUAUUGAGGAUUUUGACCCUAUAAGCCUGGUUAGUAGUGUGCAUAAGAUUAUUUUAAAGGUUCUUGCUAAUCGUUUAAGUCUUGUGUUGGAGCAGAUCAUUUCCAAGUCCCAGAACGCCUUUAUUCGUGGGAGACAAAUUCUUGAUUUGGUACUUAUUGCAAAUGAGUGCUUGGAUCAUAGAUUGAGGGAGGGAGGUUCAGGUAUCUUGUGCAAGCUUGACAUGGAGAAGGUCUAUGAUCAUGUGAAUUGAGAUUUUCUUUUAAAUCUGCUUGGGAGAUGUGGUUUUGGUGACAGGUGGAUUUUCUGGAUGAGUCAUUGUAUUUUUACCGCUUGGUUCUUAGUUCUAGUUAACGGUACACCUACUGGGUUCUUUGAUAGUUCGCGGGGCUUGCGACAAAGAGAUCCACUAUCUCCUCUGUUGUUUGUUAUAGUUAUGGAGGCCUUUAGCCGGAUGGUACAGUCUACUGUUGGUGGAGGUUUCUUAUCUGAGUUUCAGGUGGGUAAUUGCAUUGGUGGUUCCAUCUUCAUCUCUCAUCUUUUAUUUGCAGAUGAUACUCUACUCUUUUGUAAAGCAGAUAGCAGCCAGAUCCAAACUUUAUGAGCACUGCUACUAUGUUUUGAAGUAGUGUCUGGGCUCAAAGUGAAUCUUGGUAAGUCUGAGAUAGUUCCAGUGGAUGCAGUUUCUAAUAUUUUCAGUCUAGCUAGCCUUUUAGACUGCAUGGUGUCCUCUCUACCAAUGAAAUACUUGGGUCUUCCUUUGGGAGCAUUUUUUAAGCCUAGAACUAUAUGAGAUGGGGUGGUGGAGAAGAUAGAGACUAGGUUGGCUGGGUGGAAACGGAUGUAUUUAUCAAAAGGGGUCGUCUCACUCUUAUGAAGAGCACUCUUACUAAUCUCUCCACAUAUUUUUUAUAUUUGUUUCCGAUGCCUGCAAGGGUAGUGAACAGGAUU